UAGGGAAUCUUCCGCAAUGGACGAAAGUCUGACGGAGCAACGCCGCGUGAGUGAUGAAGGCUUUCGGGUCGUAAAACUCUGUUGUUAGGGAAGAACAAGUGCUAGUUGAAUAAGCUGGCACCUUGACGGUACCUAACCAGAAAGCCACGGCUAACUACGUGCCAGCAGCCGCGGUAAUACGUAGGUGGCAAGCGUUAUCCGGAAUUAUUGGGCGUAAAGCGCGCGCAGGUGGUUUCUUAAGUCUGAUGUGAAAGCCCACGGCUCAACCGUGGAGGGUCAUUGGAAACUGGGAGACUUGAGUGCAGAAGAGNAAAGUGGAAUUCCAUGUGUAGCGGUGAAAUGCGUAGAGAUAUGGAGGAACACCAGUGGCGAAGGCGACUUUCUGGUCUGUAACUGACACUGAGGCGCGAAAGCGUGGGGAGCAAACA
rnacentral:rRNA from 1 species